rnacentral:rRNA from 1 species
GGGUUGUGAGGUUAAGCGACUAAGCGUACACGGUGGAUGCCCUGGCAGUCAGAGGCGAUGAAGGACGUGCUAAUCUGCGAUAAGCGUCGGUAAGGUGAUAUGAACCGUUAUAACCGGCGAUUUCCGAAUGGGGAAACCCAGUGUGAUUCGUCACACUAUCAUUAACUGAAUCCAUAGGUUAAUGAGGCGAACCGGGGGAACUGAAACAUCUAAGUACCCCGAGGAAAAGAAAUCAACCGAGAUUCCCCCAGUAGCGGCGAGCGAACGGGGAGCAGCCCAGAGCCUGAAUCAGUGUGUGUGUUAGUGGAAGCGUCUGGAAAGGCGCGCGAUACAGGGUGACAGCCCCGUACACAAAAAUGCACAUGCUGUGAGCUCGAUGAGUAGGGCGGGACACGUGGUAUCCUGUCUGAAUAUGGGGGGACCAUCCUCCAAGGCUAAAUACUCCUGACUGACCGAUAGUGAACCAGUACCGUGAGGGAAAGGCGAAAAGAACCCCGGCGAGGGGAGUGAAAAAGAACCUGAAACCGUGUACGUACAAGCAGUGGGAGCACGCUUAGGCGUGUGACUGCGUACCUUUUGUAUAAUGGGUCAGCGACUUAUAUUCUGUAGCAAGGUUAACCGAAUAGGGGAGCCGAAGGGAAACCGAGUCUUAACUGGGCGUUAAGUUGCAGGGUAUAGACCCGAAACCCGGUGAUCUAGCCAUGGGCAGGUUGAAGGUUGGGUAACACUAACUGGAGGACCGAACCGACUAAUGUUGAAAAAUUAGCGGAUGACUUGUGGCUGGGGGUGAAAGGCCAAUCAAACCGGGAGAUAGCUGGUUCUCCCCGAAAGCUAUUUAGGUAGCGCCUCGUGAAUUCAUCUCCGGGGGUAGAGCACUGUUUCGGCAAGGGGGUCAUCCCGACUUACCAACCCGAUGCAAACUGCGAAUACCGGAGAAUGUUAUCACGGGAGACACACGGCGGGUGCUAACGUCCGUCGUGAAGAGGGAAACAACCCAGACCGCCAGCUAAGGUCCCAAAGUCAUGGUUAAGUGGGAAACGAUGUGGGAAGGCCCAGACAGCCAGGAUGUUGGCUUAGAAGCAGCCAUCAUUUAAAGAAAGCGUAAUAGCUCACUGGUCGAGUCGGCCUGCGCGGAAGAUGUAACGGGGCUAAACCAUGCACCGAAGCUGCGGCAGCGACGCUUAUGCGUUGUUGGGUAGGGGAGCGUUCUGUAAGCCUGUGAAGGUGUGCUGUGAGGCAUGCUGGAGGUAUCAGAAGUGCGAAUGCUGACAUAAGUAACGAUAAAGCGGGUGAAAAGCCCGCUCGCCGGAAGACCAAGGGUUCCUGUCCAACGUUAAUCGGGGCAGGGUGAGUCGACCCCUAAGGCGAGGCCGAAAGGCGUAGUCGAUGGGAAACAGGUUAAUAUUCCUGUACUUGGUGUUACUGCGAAGGGGGGACGGAGAAGGCUAUGUUGGCCGGGCGACGGUUGUCCCGGUUUAAGCGUGUAGGCUGGUUUUCCAGGCAAAUCCGGAAAAUCAAGGCUGAGGCGUGAUGACGAGGCACUACGGUGCUGAAGCAACAAAUGCCCUGCUUCCAGGAAAAGCCUCUAAGCAUCAGGUAACAUCAAAUCGUACCCCAAACCGACACAGGUGGUCAGGUAGAGAAUACCAAGGCGCUUGAGAGAACUCGGGUGAAGGAACUAGGCAAAAUGGUGCCGUAACUUCGGGAGAAGGCACGCUGAUAUGUAGGUGAAGUCCCUCGCGGAUGGAGCUGAAAUCAGUCGAAGAUACCAGCUGGCUGCAACUGUUUAUUAAAAACACAGCACUGUGCAAACACGAAAGUGGACGUAUACGGUGUGACGCCUGCCCGGUGCCGGAAGGUUAAUUGAUGGGGUCAGCGCAAGCGAAGCUCUUGAUCGAAGCCCCGGUAAACGGCGGCCGUAACUAUAACGGUCCUAAGGUAGCGAAAUUCCUUGUCGGGUAAGUUCCGACCUGCACGAAUGGCGUAAUGAUGGCCAGGCUGUCUCCACCCGAGACUCAGUGAAAUUGAACUCGCUGUGAAGAUGCAGUGUACCCGCGGCAAGACGGAAAGACCCCGUGAACCUUUACUAUAGCUUGACACUGAACAUUGAGCCUUGAUGUGUAGGAUAGGUGGGAGGCUUAGAAGUGUGGACGCCAGUCUGCAUGGAGCCGACCUUGAAAUACCACCCUUUAAUGUUUGAUGUUCUAACGUUGACCCGUAAUCCGGGUUGCGGACAGUGUCUGGUGGGUAGUUUGACUGGGGCGGUCUCCUCCUAAAGAGUAACGGAGGAGCACGAAGGUUGGCUAAUCCUGGUCGGACAUCAGGAGGUUAGUGCAAUGGCAUAAGCCAGCUUGACUGCGAGCGUGACGGCGCGAGCAGGUGCGAAAGCAGGUCAUAGUGAUCCGGUGGUUCUGAAUGGAAGGGCCAUCGCUCAACGGAUAAAAGGUACUCCGGGGAUAACAGGCUGAUACCGCCCAAGAGUUCAUAUCGACGGCGGUGUUUGGCACCUCGAUGUCGGCUCAUCACAUCCUGGGGCUGAAGUAGGUCCCAAGGGUAUGGCUGUUCGCCAUUUAAAGUGGUACGCGAGCUGGGUUUAGAACGUCGUGAGACAGUUCGGUCCCUAUCUGCCGUGGGCGCUGGAGAACUGAGGGGGGCUGCUCCUAGUACGAGAGGACCGGAGUGGACGCAUCACUGGUGUUCGGGUUGUCAUGCCAAUGGCACUGCCCGGUAGCUAAAUGCGGAAGAGAUAAGUGCUGAAAGCAUCUAAGCACGAAACUUGCCCCGAGAUGAGUUCUCCCUGACUCCUUGAGAGUCCUGAAGGAACGUUGAAGACGACGACGUUGAUAGGCCGGGUGUGUAAGCGCAGCGAUGCGUUGAGCUAACCGGUACUAAUGAACCGUGAGGCUUAACCUUACAACGCCGAAG